UCGAGAAUCUUCCGCAAUGGACGAAAGUCUGACGGAGCGACGCCGCGUGAUGGAUGAAGUCCCUCUGGGACGUAAACAUCUUUUAUGAGGGAGAAAGUUUAUUGAUAGUACCUCACGAAUAAGGGGUUGCUAAACUCGUGCCAGCAGCAGCGGUAAUACGAGUGCCCCGAGCGUUAUCCGGAAUCAUUGGGCGUAAAGGGUGUGUAGGUGGCAUUGUUAGUCACACGUUAAACCCUGGGGCUUAACCCCAGAUCUGCGUGUGAUACGGCAAAGCUAGAGGAUGGCAGGGAUGUAUGGAACUCAUGGAGUAGGGGUGAAAUCCGUUGAUAUCAUGGGGAACACCGAAAGCGAAGGCAGUACAUUGGGCCACUCCUGACACUGAAACACGAAAGCGUGGGUAGCGAAUGGGAUUAGAUACCCGAGUAGUCCCUGAGCGGGCUGGCAAGGCGCAU
rnacentral:rRNA from 1 species